rnacentral:rRNA from 1 species
UGGGGAAUAUUGCACAAUGGGCGAAAGCCUGAUGCAGCGACGCCGCGUGAGGGAUGACGGCCUUCGGGUUGUAAACCUCUUUCAGUAGGGACGAAGCGCAAGUGACGGUACCUGCAGAAGAAGCACCGGCUAACUCCGUGCCAGCAGCCGCGGUAAUACGUAGGGUGCGAGCGUUGUCCGGAAUUACUGGGCGUAAAGAGCUCGUAGGCGGUUUGUCACGUCGUCUGUGAAAUCCUAGGGCUUAACCCUGGACGUGCAGGCGAUACGGGCUGACUUGAGUACUACAGGGGAGACUGGAAUUUCUGGUGUAGCGGUGGAAUGCACAGAUAUCAGGAAGGAAACCGAUGGCGAAAGCAGGUCUCUGGGUAGUAACUGACGCUGAGGAGCGAAAGCAUGGGUAGCGAACAGG